rnacentral:rRNA from 1 species
GAUCAUGGCUCAGGAUGAACGCUGGCGGCGUGCCUAAUACAUGCAAGUCGAGCGAACAGACGGGGAGCUUGCUCCUCUGACGUUAGCGGCGGACGGGUGAGUAACACGUGGAUAACCUACCUAUAAGACUGGGAUAACUUCGGGAAACCGGAGCUAAUACCGGAUAAUAUAUUGAACCGCAUGGUUCAAUAGUGAAAGACGGUUUUGCUGUCACUUAUAGAUGGAUCCGCGCCGCAUUAG